AGUCGAACGAACUCUGGUAUUGAUUGGUGCUUGCAUCAUGAUUUACAUUUGAGUGAGUGGCGAACUGGUGAGUAACACGUGGGAAACCUGCCCAGAAGCGGGGGAUAACACCUGGAAACAGAUGCUAAUACCGCAUAACAACUUGGACCGCAUGGUCCGAGUUUGAAAGAUGGCUUCGGCUAUCACUUUUGGAUGGUCCCGCGGCGUAUUAGCUAGAUGGUGGGGUAACGGCUCACCAUGGCAAUGAUACGUAGCCGACCUGAGAGGGUAAUCGGCCACAUUGGGACUGAGACACGGCCCAAACUCCUACGGGAGGCAGCAGUAGGGAAUCUUCCACAAUGGACGAAAGUCUGAUGGAGCAACGCCGCGUGAGUGAAGAAGGGUUUCGGCUCGUAAAACUCUGUUGUUAAAGAAGAACAUAUCUGAGAGUAACUGUUCAGGUAUUGACGGUAUUUAACCAGAAAGCCACGGCUAACUACGUGCCAGCAGCCGCGGUAAUACGUAGGUGGCAAGCGUUGUCCGGAUUUAUUGGGCGUAAAGCGAGCGCAGGCGGUUUUUUAAGUCUGAUGUGAAAGCCUUCGGCUCAACCGAAGAAGUGCAUCGGAAACUGGGAAACUUGAGUGCAGAAGAGGACAGUGGAACUGCAUGUGUAGCGGUGAAAUGCGUAGAUAUAUGGAAGAACACCAGUGGCGAAGGCGGCUGUCUGGUCUGUAACUGACGCUGAGGCUCGAAAGUAUGGGUAGCAAACAGGAUUAGAUACCCUGGUAGUCCAUACCGUAAACGAUGAAUGCUAAGUGUUGGAGGGUUUCCGCCCUUCAGUGCUGCAGCUAACGCAUUAAGCAUUCCGCCUGGGGAGUACGGCCGCAAGGCUGAAACUCAAAGGAAUUGACGGGGGCCCGCACAAGCGGUGGAGCAUGUGGUUUAAUUCGAAGCUACGCGAAGAACCUUACCAGGUCUUGACAUACUAUGCAAAUCUAAGAGAUUAGACGUUCCCUUCGGGGACAUGGAUACAGGUGGUGCAUGGUUGUCGUCAGCUCGUGUCGUGAGAUGUUGGGUUAAGUCCCGCAACGAGCGCAACCCUUAUUAUCAGUUGCCAGCAUUAAGUUGGGCACUCUGGUGAGACUGCCGGUGACAAACCGGAGGAAGGUGGGGAUGACGUCAAAUCAUCAUGCCCCUUAUGACCUGGGCUACACACGUGCUACAAUGGAUGGUACAACGAGUUGCGAACUCGCGAGAGUAAGCUAAUCUCUUAAAGCCAUUCUCAGUUCGGAUUGUAGGCUGCAACUCGCCUACAUGAAGUCGGAAUCGCUAGUAAUCGCGGAUCAGCAUGCCGCGGUGAAUACGUUCCCGGGCCUUGUACACACCGCCCGUCACACCAUGAGAGUUUGUAACACCCAAAGUCGGUGGGGUAACCUUUUA
rnacentral:rRNA from 2 species